ACGUAGGAGACUAGCGUUAUCCGGAUUUACUGGGCGUAAAGCGCGUGCAGGCGGUUCAGCAAGUUGGAUGUGAAAGCUCCCGGCUUAACUGGGAGAGGUCGUUCAAUACUACUGGACUAGAGAGUGGUAGAGGGAGGUGGAAUUCCGGGUGUAGUGGUGAAAUGCGUAGAUAUCCGGAGGAACACCAGUGGCGAAAGCGGCCUCCUGGACCAUUUCUGACGCUCAGACGCGAAAGCUAGGGUAGCGAACGG
rnacentral:rRNA from 1 species